ensembl:ncRNA T19F4.7 ncRNA
AGGAGUCAGUCAUUUCUCAGAUGAUGUCCCGUUCAUCAUCGUCUUUUGCCCUCAAAUUCUCCGGCUGACUGCGCUCGGCGAAAAAGUAUAAGGUUUCACUGGUAAUCGAGACUUUUGGGCCCGAGAAAUAACGGCCGGAACACAGAGACAACAGACGGAGGCAAUUGAGAAAAUGGGUCUCUUCUCAUCGUUUAUUUCGGUGGUUUAGAUAGAUGACCAC